rnacentral:rRNA from 1 species
GAUGAACGCUGGCGGCGUGCCUAAUCCAUGCAAGCCGAGCGAACGGACGAGAAGCUUGCUUCUCUGAUGUUAGCGGCGGACGGGUGAGUAACACGUGGAUAACCUACCUAUAAGACUGGGAUAACUUCGGGAAACCGGAGCUAAUACCGGACAAUAUUUUGAACCGCAUGGUUCAAAAGUGAAAGACGGUUUUGCUGUCACUUAAAGAUGGAUCCGCGCUGCAUUAGCUAGUUGGUAAGGUAACGGCUUACCAAGGCAACGAUGCAUAGCCGACCUGAGAGGGUGAUCGGCCACACUGGAACUGAGACACGGUCCAGACUCCUACGGGAGGCAGCAGUAGGGAAUCUUCCGCAAUGGGCGAAAGCCUGACGGAGCAACGCCGCGUGAGUGAUGAAGGUCUUCGGAUCGUAAAACUCUGUUAUUAGGGAAGAACAUAUGUGUAAGUAACUGUGCACAUCUUGACGGUACCUAAUCAGAAAGCCACGGCUAACUACGUG